GUGAAUAUCAUUAGCUGGAACUAUCGCGGGAUUGGCAACGACACGACAGUCUGAGAGCUAUGCACGUACGUUAGUGCAACGGUUUGCUCCCCGGUGCUAUGCUUGCAAGAAACUCAAGUAGGAGGGUUACAGGCUAGAAAUCUAGCAUUUUCUUUUGGUUUUGGUAGGUGUUAUACUGUUGGAAGUGAUGGUAGAUGUGGAGGUUUGGCUAUGUACUGGAAUGAUGAUUUA
rnacentral:rRNA from 1 species